UGACUCUGGUUUCUCUUCAUUACGCACAAGCCUUUCGCCUUUUUCUAAAGACUUCCGUGGAGAGGAACACUUACGAGUUCAACGUAUUUUUGGAGCGGCUUUGCUUCUUGCAGAGCC
rnacentral:snRNA from 1 species